rnacentral:rRNA from 1 species
GAUGAACGCUAGCUACAGGCUUAACACAUGCAAGUCGAGGGGUAACGAGAGGAAAGCUUGCUUUCCUUGUCGACGACCGGCGCACGGGUGAGUAACGCGUAUCCAACCUGCCCCCAACUAGGGAAUAACCUUGCGAAAGUAAGACUAAUACCCUAUGAUUUCCUCAGAUGUCAUCUGACGAGGAACAAAGAUUUAUCGGUUGUGGAUGGGGAUGCGUCUGAUUAGCUUGUUGGCGGGGUAACGGCCCACCAAGGCAACGAUCAGUAGGGGUUCUGAGAGGAAGGUCCCCCACAUUGGAACUGAGACACGGUCCAAACUCCUACGGGAGGCAGCAGUGAGGAAUAUUGGUCAAUGGGCGGAAGCCUGAACCAGCCAAGUAGCGUGCAGGAUGACGGCCCUAUGGGUUGUAAACUGCUUUUAUACAGGAAUAAAGUUAGCCACGUGUGGUUAUUUGUAGGUACUGUAUGAAUAAGGACCGGCUAAUUCCGUGCCAGCAGCCGCUGUAA